CGGCUGUAAUGGUCAGUUUGGUUCUGGAGGCACUCGAUUUUCUCGCUGUCUCUGCUCCAUCCCCAUAAGAACCCCCCCGCGGCGCCCAGCGCGAAUCUCGCGGUGGCCGCCCACUCGCACGGGUAACCUGCGAUGCUGCGCGCGGCCCUAAGCAAUGAAGAUAACACUUGAGGGAGGCUUCACUCUGCAGAGGCAUCUUCACCGUCAGAUGGCGUGCUGGAUGACGAUCGCUGGGGGCAUGGGGCAGAGCGGCGAGAUGGGGAUGUCAACUGGACUUUU
rnacentral:SRP_RNA from 1 species